rnacentral:rRNA from 1 species
UACGUAGGGGCAAGCGUUGUCCGGAUUUAUUGGGCGUAAAGAGCUCGGUAGGCGGUUUGGUAAGUCUGGUGUGAAAUCUCCACGCUCAACGUGGAGGGGCCACCCUAUACUGCCAUGACUGGAGUCCGGUAGAGGAGUGUGGAAUUCCCGGUGUAGCGGUGAAAUGCGCAGAUAUCGGGAGGAACACCCGUAGCGAAGGCGGCACUCGUGGGCCGAACUGACGCUGAGGCACGAAAGCGUGGG